AAACCUGUAAUGGUGAUAGCAAUUGCGAAAAAGUUGCAAACAUUCGUUGUGGGGAAACUCCUAAAGAUCAGAAGACAGAAAUUAUCAACAGCAGAGCUAGCAAGAGGCCGUUCAUAACAACGGCCAAUGAGGAAAGAAACAACGAAAAAAGUUCAAAACGACGGCUUCGAAUGUCAGAAUCUGAUCAUGAAGAUUCUCCUUCCCCUGGUCAAGAAAUCCUUUUUGAAUCUCCAGUUGAUAAGUCUGUCGAUGUUGAUAUACCAUUACAUGACGUGAUAUUGAAAGCACCUUUCCCACCCAGGAAAAAAAGAAAGGAGCCUUUGUUGUUUGAACGCAACAAAAAAGGGAUCUGCCGUAAAUGUCUGGGAUGUCGCGUGGACUUCGCUAAAGUAAACAGCCAUAAUUAUCUCAGUAGUAUACGACGUAGCAUCAACACGUGUACUGAACAUCGUUUGUU